rnacentral:rRNA from 1 species
UACAGAGGGUGCGAGCGUUAAUCGGAAUUACUGGGCGUAAAGCGCACGUAGGUGGCGACGUAAGUCGGGUGUGAAAGCCCCGGGCUCAACCUGGGAAUUGCAUUCGAGACUGCAUUGCUGGAGUACGGAAGAGGAGGGCGGAAUUCCCGGUGUAGCGGUGAAAUGCGUAGAUAUCGGAAGGAACACCAGUGGCGAAAGCGGCUUCCUGGUCCAGCACCGACGUUCAGGCACGAAAGCGUGGGGAGCAAACAGG